UACAGAGGGUGCGAGCGUUAAUCGGAAUUACUGGGCGUAAAGCGUGCGUAGACGGUAGCGUAAGUCAGAUGUGAAAGCCCCGGGCUCAACCUGGGAACUGCAUUUGAGACUGCUCUGCUCGGGUGCGGAAGAGGGAAGCGGAAUUUCCGGUGUAGCGGUGAAAUGCGUAGAUAUCGGAAGGAACACCAGUGGCGAAAGCGGCUUCCUGGUCCAGCACCGACGUUCAGGCACGAAAGUGUGGGGAGCAAACAGG
rnacentral:rRNA from 1 species